UACGUAGGGUGCGAGCGUUGUCCGGAAUUACUGGGUGUAAAGAGCUCGUAGGUGGUUUGUCGCGUUGUUCGUGAAAACUCACAGCUUAACUGUGGGCGUGCGGGCGAUACGGGCAGACUGGAGUACUGCAGGGGAGACUGGAAUUCCUGGUGUAGCGGUGGAAUGCGCAGAGUAUCAGGAGGAACACCGAUGGCGAAGGCAGAUCUCUGGGCCGUAACUGACGCUGGAGGAACGAAAGCGUGGGGAGCGAACAGG
rnacentral:rRNA from 1 species